GCUUACGGCCAUACCACCCUGAGAACGCCCGAUCUCGUCUGAUCUCGGAAGCUAAGCAGGGUCUGGCCUGGUUAGUACUUGGAUGGGAGACCGCCUGGGAAUACCAGGUGCUGUAAGCU
rnacentral:rRNA from 1 species